AGGGCUCCACCAAAUUACCGAAGACAAAGGUGUGUAUACGAUUGGACUCUUCAGUUUAUUACACCCGGCCCUUUGUCGAAACCCUUAACCCACGACACACACGACCCUCUCGCUCAAACCCUCAAAACCCACGACCCUCUCUCAAACCCUCUCUCCGAUCGCUACCCCGACGAGGACGACGACAAGGACAUACGUCUCUUCCCCAGCUCUUCCUCUGACGACGACAGUCCUCCCACGACGACGAGGGUUACUCCUCCCAGAGAGCGACGACGACCCUUCAGUUACUGUCUUCGACAGCUGGUACUCUCUCUUUCAUUCUUUGUUAUUUUGUGCGUGUGUGCGGGGUUCGGUUUGGGUUUUUGGAUAAGUUCAAAAUAUACGCCCAAAAAUGGUUUCAGUGCUAUGGGAGAAGUUUUCUCAUAUCAACCUGACAUUCUCCAUAGGUGGACAAAUAAGCUUUGAUGUCUUUCCCCAAGGUUGGGAUAAAACAUAUUGCUUGAAAUACCUUGACGACUUCCAAGAAAUCCAUUUCUUUGGUGACAAAACUUACAAGGGUGGAAACGACCAUGAAAUUUAUGAGUCAGAAAGAAGUAUAAAACUCAGAUAAAAAUUGAAGAAGUAUUAUAUAUGUCUGUCAGUGGAAAAUCUUCGAAAAGAUUGACUGUGUAUUCAAACCAAUGUUUUGUGGUUAAACAUCAAGGAUCUAAAUUGAAGGGAGAAUACGAUUUUUUCCAAGUGUUGAGAUAGAGAUGAUGUGCCGACACAUGAUUGCUCAGAAGAUGAGAACUUAGGUCAUUGUUUGCAACCUCCCAACCAUGGAGGUCCUACACGGAUGAAGUGUGUAUGCCAAAGAAUGGAUAAAGGUGAAAAAAUAGACCUUGAGGUUAAUGACAUAGGGGAAUACUUUGGAGAUAUGUAUGGAGAGAUGAUAUCAUGGCUCGGAGUUAGAUGUCGAAAAACACUUAAUAUUUUCUUAUUAAUUUCUUAUUAGACGUCAUUGGAUGCUUGAGAUUGUUUGUGCUGGGAAGAUCAUUCACUUGGACCCUUUGUUUAGACAUAAACGCCCUCAGAUGACUAUUGACCUCACACUCCAAAGGUUGGAAUGAAGGACACAUACGAUGUGGAGACGAUGUUGCGUGCUACCACUGCAAAAUCAAUGGUUAUCGAAACUGACACGAUACUUGUACUAGUUAGCUUUAGACUUUUAAUUUUAGGCAAUACUUAUUUUGUGCGUGAUUUUUAUUAGUAAGAACUUAGCAUAUUUUGUAAUGUAUACUUUAAUUUAAUUAGAAUGUCUUUUGUA